CCUACGGGGAGCAGCAGUGGGGAAUUUUGGACAAUGGGCGAAAGCCUGAUCCAGCAAUGCCGCGUGAGUGAAGAAGGCCUUCGGGUUGUAAAGCUCUUUUGUUUGGGAAGAAAUCCCUAAGGAUAAUACCCUUGGGGGAUGACGGUACCAAAAGAAUAAGCACCGGCUAACUACGUGCCAGCAGCCGCGGUAAUACGUAGGGUGCAAGCUUUAAUCGGAGUUACUGCGCGUGAUUUUGGCGCAGGGGGGUGAAAUCCCCGAGCUCAACUUGGGAACUGCACUUGUGACUGCAAGACUAGAGUGUGUCAGAGGGAGGUAGAAUUCCACGUGUAGCAGUGAAAUGCGUAGAUAUGUGGAGGAAUACCAGUGGCGAAGGCGGCCUCCUGGGAUAACACUGACGCUCAUGUACGAAAGCGUGGGGAGCAAACAGGAUUAGAUACCCCGGUAGUC
rnacentral:rRNA from 1 species